CUAGGUGGCCUGCUCAUGGUCAUCCGGGAAGGCAAGGGCUGCUAGGGUUUUUGGGUAGCGCUUCUUUACCUGUGAGAAUAGAAACUUAACACAUUUUAUUAGUGCCUGGCAGUGUUUUGCAGAUUUUAUAGCUGCUUGGGCACAUUUACAUAUACCUCCUUUUCUUGGUUAUUAGCCAAGUUUUAGCUGUGAGCAGGGUCCUUGAAUGGAGCCAGUGUCUUAUCUUCAGCCUGCUAGCUAUUUUUUUUUUUUAGUUAAUUUAUUUUUUUUGGCU